rnacentral:lncRNA from 11 species
UUUAAAUGCAUCUGUCUUUGCCUCCAUGACAAUUUCCUUCACACUUGGAAAGCCUUCCUCCUCCAUUCCAGCAGCAACAGGGAACUGCCAUGGCAAAUUCUGAGAAGGUCAUAUGUGAAUGUGAUUGUUGAAGAUUUAAGAGAAUU